AGAGAGAUCAUUGACAUUGAGGUACAGAUCUGAGAGGUUGGUCAAAUUAGCAAGUUCAGUAGGUACAACCCCAUGAAGCUUGUUGAAGUGCAGGCAACCCCUUCAAAAGAGGCAUUGCUGCAUGGGUCAGUAGCAUUGGGUGACCAUGAUGACAGAAUGAGGCCUUGAGGGUCUAGUGCAGAUUUGAUGGUCAUGAGGAGAGAGAGAGGGGUGGUUGUUGUUGUUGUUGAGGGUUGAGAGAGAGAGUGGAAUGGUAGGAGCAGUGUGAGGAAGAGUGUGAAAAGGGGGAGGAAAGCCAUUUUUGGGCUUCCAAGCAAAAUGUGUAGUGGGAAAGUUAGUUUGGAAGAAAGCUAAGCUCUGUGACCUGUGUUGUUUGCUAAACCAAAGUAGUGAGCAAUGCUAAACCAAAGUAGUGAGCAAAGUUCGCUUUUUUAUGAAUUGGGGAUUUUGCUAAAGUUUGCUUCUUUUUGGUGGAAACAAAUGGAGUUGCAGAGGUCUCGCCCUCCCUCUCCUCUCCUCUCCUCUCGCCUUGGGGUUGAAGAAGUGGAGUGGGCAGAGAUACUUGUCGGUGUUUACUGUUGGGACAAAUUUGAAUUUGCGGUGACCGGGAAGACCGGUAGCACUCACACUUGACUUGUAUUUUUACUGUGAUCUACUCCUACUUGUACUACAGUACUUACAUGUUUAUUUUUUCGUUGAA